UACGUAGGGGGCAAGCGUUGUCCGGAAUUAUUGGGCGUAAAGAGCGUGUAGGCGGUCCGGUAAGUCUGCUGUGAAAGUCCGGGGCUCAACCCUGGAUGCCGGUGGAUACUGUCGGGCUAGAGUGCGGAAGAGGCGAGUGGAAUUCCUGGUGUAGCGGUGAAAUGCGUAGAGAUGUGGAGGAACACCAGUGGCGAAGGCGGCUUUCUGGACUGACACUGAC
rnacentral:rRNA from 1 species